UAUUGAUAGAUGCUCUCAUGGUUUGGUGAAACCAGUGUACUCUUCCGGUGAUGCUCACCAGCAAACCCUUUUGCUGGGUCAGGAGGAAUUCUCGGGGCCUCAGAUAGAACGAUGGGAUCCUAGAGUGACUGGGGCCACAGAAAGCCAUGGACUUCAUGAUAGACCAUUACAAAGCAUCAGCCUGGCAAGUUAUUAAUGAAAUCCAGAUGAUAGACCACAAAACACGUCAUUCAGCAAGUUGACUAGCUGGAACAGAAUACACAGGGCUGAAAGAUGGCAGGAGCCUGGGGUAGGAGUUUCCUGGCCAUGGAGUGAACAGUUUGCUUGGACAUUUACUACUGCUCUGAUAUCCUGUCUUGCUGCAGGUUACAAAUGACAGGCUGAUCAGCUGUGACUUGAAACCUCUAAAACUGUGAGCCAAAUUAAACACUUUGUCUUUAUAGGUCAAGUAUUUGGGGUACUUGUUAUCAUGAAAGACAGUGGAUGAAUGGACUUCUGUAAGUAUGCAGUGUAUGUAUCUACAUAUGCAAAGCAAAACACCUAUAUUCAAUUGUGAUAACAUCACCUUAUUUCGUGUUGAUGAAACCCUUGCAAUCAACAUGUAAGUUAUUAAAAAACAGACAUUGGUAUGACUUAAA